rnacentral:rRNA from 1 species
UACAGAGGUCUCAAGCGUUGUUCGGAUUCAUUGGGCGUAAAGGGUGCGUAGGCGGCGCGGUAAGUCGGGUGUGAAAUCUUGGAGCUUAACUCCGAAACUGCAUUCGAUACUGCCGUGCUUGAGUACUGGAGAGGAGACUGGAAUUUACGGUGUAGCAGUGAAAUGCGUAGAUAUCGUAAGGAAGACCAGUGGCGAAGGCGAGUCUCUGGACAGUUACUGACGCUGAGGCACGAAGGCCAGGGGGAGCAAACAGG